ACGAACGCUGGCGGCGUGCUUAACACAUGCAAGUCGAACGGAAAGGCCCUGCUUUUGUGGGGUGCUCGAGUGGCGAACGGGUGAGUAACACGUGAGUAACCUGCCCUUGACUUUGGGAUAACUUCAGGAAACUGGGGCUAAUACCGGGUAGGAGCUCCUGCUGCAUGGUGGGGGUUGGAAAGUUUCGGCGGUUGGGGAUGGACUCGCGGCUUAUCAGCUUGUUGGUGGGGUAGUGGCUUACCAAGGCUUUGACGGGUAGCCGGCCUGAGAGGGUGACCGGCCACAUUGGGACUGAGAUACGGCCCAGACUCCUACGGGAGGCAGCAGUGGGGAAUAUUGCACAAUGGGCGGAAGCCUGAUGCAGCAACGCCGCGUGCGGGAUGACGGCCUUCGGGUUGUAAACCGCUUUCGCCUGUGACGAAGCGUGAGUGACGGUAAUGGGUAAAGAAACACCGGCUAACUACGU
rnacentral:rRNA from 1 species